GGCCGCGCCCGCGCCUGCGCCUCAGCCCCGGCUUCAUCUUCCCUGUCUUGUUCCUGGGCGCAGAGGGCUCCUCCGGCGCCGCCGAGCUGCGCCCGCUGCCUUCACACCCCGGACAUCCGCGCCACACUGAUGGAUCCUAGAACCUGUUCUAGAAGGAGACGCUGAGUUCUCCCCACUCUACCUGGAGCUGCUGAGGUCAAGUGGAGAGUGCCGGGGCUGAAGCCCAGCGAGCCCCUCCCUGUCACACCACACUGCACAUGUGACACCAAAGGUGGGGUUCACCUCUUUUCAGACUUUCUGCGGUUGCCCUCACAUGGGCUGUCUGGAGGUGCACCCUCACUCUUCCUGAGGACUGUGGUUCCUUCUCCAUCACUGGUUCAUUCUGCAUGGUGUGACCCACCACGGCUCUGGAGUCGGAUUUCCACCCAGGUCAUUCAGCUGAGACCUGCGCUUCCCAGGCCUACCCGUGACAUGUGCUCAGUUACCUGAGCUGCUGGUGGUCACUCAUGUGGCUAUAGCCUGCUGCCUGGAGGCCAGGCCUCCCGCUUCCCCUGCCUCCCCCUCUCCUCACCACAGCCUGUUGGGAUGGAACAGGACAGGGGUGAGACCGUGGUGCUUUCACACUCAGCCUCCAUGGACAUCCUGUCAUUCCCACCCGGGGAGGUCUGGUCCCCACCCUGGGUGUCCCAGCCUAGCUCCGCUACGAGUGUGAGGGCCCAGGGCAACCGCCUAGCCCUCAUCUGCCCCCUGCACUGCAUCCUCCCCACUCAUUCAUUCCACAGGCAUUUAUUGAGCAUCUACUGUGUGCCAGAUGCAAAGAAGACAGUGGGAUAACUGGGCAAGGAGCAUUCCAGGCAGAGGGAACAGCCAGUGCAAACAUGGGAGAUGCGGGUGCAGUGAGAAGGAGCAGAGGAGACCAGGAGUUGAGGCGACUGCAGAGCGAUUGCAGAGCUCAUAGACGUGAUGAAGACCAGCUGGGCACUGCAGCGGCUCUGGCUUCUGCUGUGAGGGACGGGGAGCUGUGGAGACUCCCUCUGUUUGGUCCCAUUUCCAUAUUGCUGAGCACCUGCUGCAUGCUCUCUGUCCUGCUCAGAGCCAGUACCUGGAUGGAGGCUGUGUGUUCUGGGUGGACUGGGGGAGAAUGCAUUCUUUGCAGAAGAGACAACCAGGUGCUGAGGCCUGAAGUCAUAACCAGACCUGGGGCACUCAGACAAGGACUGGUGGCCAGGCCAGAGGAGCAGAGCUCAGGGUGUGCACAGAACUCAGAAGUCAGACCACUGAACAGUGACAGAACCUUUCAGCCCAUUGGCAAUGAGGCUGCCCAGGCAGCCAGAGGCCUGGUCAAAUCUGAGGUCUGCAGAGAUGGAGCUGUCAUUCUGUGUUUCCUUUGGCAGUCCCAACACCAGCCUCGUUGCACCCUCCUCUUAGCUUCCCUGGGUUCUCCAGCCCUAAGGGUGGUAGCAGCUUCCUGCAAGUAUCCAGCUCUGAGAUUCUGCAACAUCCACUUUUGCUCUCUGAGCCUUGCAAAACCUGCACAAUCAGUCCCUAACUUAUAUCCCCUCUGUUUGAAAUACCUAGUGUGGUUUCUAUUUCCUGACUUGACUCUGACUGGUGUGGUACUUGGUAUAAAGAAGGUUCCCUGGCCAGGUGCGGUGGCUCACGCCUAUAAUCCCAACGCUUUGGGAGGCUGAGGCAGGAGGAUCACUUGAGCCCAGGAGUUUUGAGACCCGCCUAGGCAACAUGGUGAGACACUGUCCUUACAAAAAAUUUUAAAAUUAGCCAGGUGUAGUGACGCAAGUCUGUCAUCCCAGCUGCUUGGGAGGCUGAGGUGGGAGGAUCACCUGAGCCUAAGAAGUCGCGGCUGCAAUA
ensembl:lncRNA A1BG-AS1 A1BG antisense RNA 1